AGAGUUUGAUCAUGGCUCAGGAUGAACGCUAGCUACAGGCUUAACACAUGCAAGUCGAGGGGAAACGGACAUCGAAAGCUUGCUUUUGAUGGGCGUCGACCGGCGCACGGGUGAGUAACGCGUAUCCAACCUGCCCACCACUUGGGGAUAACCUUGCGAAAGUAAGACUAAUACCCAAUGACGUCUCUAGAAGACAUCUGAAGGAGAUUAAAGAUUUAUCGGUGAUGGAUGGGGAUGCGUCUGAUUAGCUUGUUGGCGGGGUAACGGCCCACCAAGGCGACGAUCAGUAGGGGUUCUGAGAGGGAGGUCCCCCACAUUGGAACUGAGACACGGUCCAAACUCCGUACGGGAGCA
rnacentral:rRNA from 1 species